AACGCGAAGAACCUUACCAGCUCUUGACAUUUUGUGACAACUCUAGAGAUAGAGCGUUCCUUUCGGGGACAGAAUGACAGGUGGUGCAUGGUUGUCGUCAGCUCGUGUCGUGAGAUGUUGGGUUAAGUCCCGUAACGAGCGCAACCCUUGUUGUUAGUUGCCAUCAUUAAGUUGGGCACUUUAACGAGACUGCCGGUGAUAAACCGGAGGAAGGCGGGGAUGACGUCAAAUCAUCAUGCCCCUUAUGAGUUGGGCUACACACGUGCUACAAUGGACGGUACAAAGGGCAGCGAUCCCGCAAGGGCAAGCUAAUCUUUCAAACCAUUCUCAGUUCGGAUUGCACUCUGCAACUCGAGUGCAUGAAGUCUGGAAUCGCUAGUAAUCCGUGAAUUCCAAG
rnacentral:rRNA from 1 species